rnacentral:lncRNA from 1 species
UCUUAUUAGAAUUCAUUAUCAAUUUUUAGAAAUAGAUACCAAUUUAAUAUAAGUAGAAGUUUGAAAUAAAAAAUUGAAAUAUGUGGAAGGCCAUAAUGAAAUCUCUACAAAUGCCCAAUGAUCUGGUGUCACAAGUCUGAGCCUCUAAUAUAAGGUUUUAACAGUCUAAUGCAGAAAUAUGUCUAAAAUGCAGAAUAGUAAAGAAAGAUAAAGGGAGAAAUCGGGUCUGCGGACGCCAUGCAGCUACCUCGAUAACUCCGAUGAAAAACUGAACGGCAGGAAAGCUCGCUCUACACCUCAGGUACACAUGUACCUGCACACACGGUGCAUGGAGUAAUGUGAGUACUCCGACCCAGUGAGUAAUAAUAAUAAAUAAUGGCUGACGGCAUGAAAUCAUGUAAAGGCACUAAGCAGUUCUAUAUCAAAAUAGUAAAACCAUUUAAAGAGCAAGUAGUAAAGAAAAUUGAAUGAAACUCUUUGAACCAGGUGAAAACAGGUAAUUUGACAGGCAUUAAUCCAGUAUAAAUUCGCUCCUUGAGCAUUUCUGUUCAUUUACUUAUUUCUUAUCCUCAUAACUCAAUUCAUAUACCUCUCACAAUAACCGAAAUUGAAAUAUAUAUAUAUACCACUGCGGCGUACAGCCCGAUACGUAUAUCUCUGUGGCGCACAACCCAAUUCAUAAUAAUAAUAGUCAACUGCGAUCACAGGGGGUGUGCAGACCCCGCAGGGGCUCCUACAGCCCAAGCGCUAUAUUGCUACGGCGUGCAGCCCGAUCCAUAUAUAUAUAUAUAUAUAUAUAUUUACAUAUUUUCCGCGGCGCGCAGCCCGGUCCAUAUAAGUAUUUGUUGCGGUGCACAGCCCGAUCCAAUAUAUGUAUUUGCAUAUUUGCUGCGGCGCGCAGCCCGGUCCAUAUAAGUAUUUGUUGCGGCGUGCAGCCCGAUCCAUUAUAUGUAUUUGAUGCGGCAUGCAGCCCGAUCCAAUAUCAUAUAUAAUAUCCUCACUAUUGGGUCGUCAACCCCUCUCAGUCAUUAUAAUCACAGCCUCUCAGGCACAAUAAUAUAAGGUAGGGAUCUCUGCCCACAUAUUUCUCUCAUUUAUGGUUAACAUUUCAUAACCCGGUUCAUAUCAUUUUUAAACAAUUAGAAAUAUGACUGAGGAUAUGAUUUUUAGCAAAUAAGUGAGGAAAACCAGUCAAAAAUCUCAUAAGGGUUCUACAGGUCGGCACAAGGCCCCAAACAUGGCAACUAGCCCAAGUCAGGAUGACAAUGCAUAAGUCUCAGUCAAAAUGUAGUGAAAAUAUCAAUUGGGAUGGACCAAGUCACAAUCCCCAUUAGCAAUUAACCCCACGCUCAUCACGCAGCGUGUGUCUCAUCUCAGUAUAACACUAUGUUGUGCAAAAUCCGGGGUUUCAAACCCUCAAGACAUCAUUUAAAAUCAUUACUCACCUCAAACUGGCCAAAGCUCUAGCUCGCUAUGCCCUUGCCUCUCAAAUUGGCCUCCUUGCACGUCGAAUCUGACCAAAAUCACAACGAACAUGUCACAUUAUGCUAAAGAAAUAGUACCCAAUCGAAAACAAUCAAAAAAUAUCAAAAUUCUCGAAAUUGGCAAAACCCAAGCCCCGGGCCCACUUCUCGAAAUUCAGAAAUUUUUACAUCAACGGGUUCCUUAUCUCCCCACGAGUUCAUACAUACCAAAAGUUCUCAAAUCCGACCCCAAAUGGUCCUCCAAAUCCCCAAUCAAAAUCUCAAAAUCCCAAGCCCUAUUUCUUCCAUUUUUAGCAAGAAUUCAAUGAUUUUCUAGGUGGAUUUCAUAAUAUAAAUGAGUUUAAGGUCCGAAAUUCUUACCUCCAAACGUUUCUCCUUGAAUCCCUCUUCAAUCUCCUUCAAAAAGCUCUCAAAAUGAUCAACUAUGGCUGAAAAUGGACCCAAAUCGCAGACAAGAGGACUUAAAAACA